AUUCCUACGGGAGGCAGCAGUGAGGAAUAUUGGACAAUGGGCGAGAGCCUGAUCCAGCCAUGCCGCGUGCAGGAAGACGGCCCUAUGGGUUGUAAACUGCUUUUAUACAGGAAGAAACACUCCCUCGUGAGGGAGCUUGACGGUACUGUAGGAAUAAGGAUCGGCUAACUCCGUGCCAGCAGCCGCGGUAAU
rnacentral:rRNA from 1 species